CGCGGCCUAUCAGCUUGUUGGUGAGGUAAUGGCUCACCAAGGCGACGACGGGUAGCCGGCCUGAGAGGGUGACCGGCCACACUGGGACUGAGACACGGCCCAGACUCCUACGGGAGGCAGCAGUGGGGAAUAUUGCACAAUGGGCGAAAGCCUGAUGCAGCGACGCCGCGUGAGGGAUGACGGCCUUCGGGUUGUAAACCUCUUUCAGCAGGGAAGAAGCGAAAGUGACGGUACCUGCAGAAGAAGCGCCGGCUAACUACGUGCCAGCAGCCGCGGUAAUACGUAGGGCGCAAGCGUUGUCCGGAAUUAUUGGGCGUAAAGAGCUCGUAGGCGGUUUGUCGCGUCUGCCGUGAAAGUCCGGGGCUCAACUCCGGAUCUGCGGUGGGUACGGGCAGGCUAGAGUGAUGUAGGGGAGACUGGAAUUCCUGGUGUAGCGGUGAAAUGCGCAGAUAUCAGGAGGAACACCGAUGGCGAAGGCAGGUCUCUGGGCAUUAACUGACGCUGAGGAGCGAAAGCAUGGGGAGCGAACAGGAUUAGAUACCCUGGUAGUCCAUGCCGUAAACGUUGGGCACUAGGUGUGGGGGACAUUCCACGUUUUCCGCGCCGUAGCUAACGCAUUAAGUGCCCCGCCUGGGGAGUACGG
rnacentral:rRNA from 1 species